rnacentral:lncRNA from 1 species
UCAGAUAUGGGAAGAGGAAAAUGAACAAGAUAGGGUAGUUAAAUUCCUUCUUGGAUUAAAUGAAGAGUUCCUAAAUGUAAGAGGUCAAAUAUUAACUGGGAAAGAAAUUCCCAAUAUGGAUUCAGCCUACUCAACAGUCAUAACUGAAGAAAAACAAAGAGGGGUUACUCAUAUUAAAUACAACUCUGAUUUAGGACAAACAGACACUGCAAUGGCUGUAAAAAGAUCCUCUGGUUUUAGAAGUGAAC